AGGGUUUGAUCAUGGCUCAGAACGUACGCUGGCGGCACGCCUUAUACAUGCAAGUCGAACGAAGUAGUAAUACUUAGUGGCAGACGGGUGAGUAACAUGUAGGUAUCUUCCCUUUGGUGAGGAAUAACACGAGGAAACUUGUGCUAAUACCUCAUAAGUCUUUACAGAGAAAGCUUUAUGCGCCGAAGGAUGAGCCUGCAUUUGAUUAGUUUGUUGGUGGGGUAAUGGCCUACCAAGACUUUGAUCAAUAGCUGAUCUGAGAGGAUGAUCAGCCACAUUGGGACUGAGACACGGCCCAAACUCCUACGGGAGGCAGCAGUAGGGAAUAUUGCACAAUGGAGGAAACUCUGAUGCAGCGAUGCCGCGUGAGUGAAGAAGGCCUUUGGGUUGUAAAGCUCUUUCGUCGGGGAAGAAAAUGACUGUACCCGAAUAAGAAGGUCCGGCUAACUUCGUGCCAGCAGCCGCGGUAAUACGAAGGGACCUAGCGUAGUUCGGAAUUACUGGGCUUAAAGAGUUCGUAGGUGGUUAAAAAAGUUGGUGGUGAAAUCCCAGAGCUUAACUCUGGAACUGCCAUCAAAACUUUUUAGCUAGAGUAUGAUAGAGGAAAGCAGAAUUUCUAGUGUAGAGGUGAAAUUCGUAGAUAUUAGAAAGAAUACCAAUUGCGAAGGCAGCUUUCUGGAUCAUUACUGACGCUGAGGAACGAAAGCAUGGGUAGCGAAGAGGAUUAGAUACCCUCGUAGUCCAUGCCGUAAACGAUGUGUGUUAGACGUUGGAAAUUUAUUUUCAGUGUCGCAGCGAAAGCAUUAAACACACCGCCUGGGGAGUACGACCGCAAGGUUAAAACUCAAUGAAUUGACGGGACCCGCAC
rnacentral:rRNA from 1 species